UGCCAGCCGCCGCGGUAAUACGGGGGGCGCAAGCGUUAUCCGGAAUUAUUGGGCGUAAAGCGCGCGUAGGCGGCUUUGUAAGUCGGAUGUGAAAGCCCUGGGCUUAACCUGGGAAUGGCAUUCGAAACUGCAGAGCUAGAGUAUAGUAGAGGGAAGUGGAAUUUCCGGUGUAGCGGUGAAAUGCGUAGAUAUCGGAAGGAACACCGGUGGCGAAGGCGACUUCCUGGGCCAAUACUGACGCUGAGGCGCGAAAGCGUGGGUAGCAAACAGGAUUAGAUA
rnacentral:rRNA from 1 species